CAGGGAGACAACAAAAUGUUUAUAUUAAUUUUGUCACCUUAGGUCGAUCGGUACCUCACAUUCUUAAUUGAAUUAAGAAUUUCAUUCCCUAAGUUUUUUCUAGGUCACACCCAUUACUUUUCCUGGGCCAUUAGCUCAGGUGGUUAGAGCGCACCCCUGAUAAGGGUGAGGUCCCUGGUUCAAGUCCAGGAUGGCCCAUAUCUCUAUGUUGGGGGUAUAGCUCAGUUGGUAGAGCGCCUGCUUUGCAAGCAGGAUGUCAGCGGUUCGAGUCCGCUUACCUCCACUGAUUACCACCUCUUCCAUAUUUAAGGAAACGUUUUGCGUUGUGAUCAAAUUCUGAACGAAUCUAGCUUCCUAAUAAACUCAUUAAGAUGCUGGAUUCAUUGAAUUAAUUUCAUUGUUUUCAGAGAACCUUGACAACUGCAUAGAUUAUUUUUAAAGACAAUAAGCAUCUUUAACGAUGCAGAUUUAUUAUUUGUGCUGAUGCAUUAAUAACAAUUCUAUUGAGCUGAUGCUUCAA
rnacentral:tRNA from 1 species